UACGUAGGGUGCAAGCGUUAAUCGGAAUUACUGGGCGUAAAGCGUGCGCAGGCGGUUCGCUAAGACCGAUGUGAAAUCCCCGGGCUUAACCUGGGAACUGCAUUGGUGACUGGCGAGCUAGAGUGUGGCAGAGGGGGGGUAGAAUUCCACGUGUAGCAGUGAAAUGCGUAGAGAUGUGGAGGAAUACCGAUGGCGAAGGCAGCCCCCUGGGCUAACACUGACGCUCAUGCACGAAAGCGUGGGGAGCAAACAG
rnacentral:rRNA from 1 species